rnacentral:rRNA from 1 species
AACGAACGCUGGCGGCGCGUCUUAAGCAUGCAAGUCGAACGGCAAGAGAGGAGCUUGCUUCUCUCCUAGAGUGGCGGACUGGUGAGGAACGCGUGGGUAAUCUACCCUUAAGAUGGGGAUAGCCGCUAGAAAUAGCGGGUAAUACCGAAUAGACUUAUAGCUGAGAAAGAAGUGAUAAGGAAAGGAAGCUAAGGCUUCGCUUAAGGAUGAGCCUGCGUCCCAUUAGCUAGUUGGUAAGGUAACGGCCUACCAAGGCGACGAUGGGUAUCCGGCCUGAGAGGGUGAACGGACACAUUGGGACUGAGAUACGGCCCAAACUCUACGGGAGGCAGCAGCUAAGAAUAUUCCGCAAUGGACGGAAGUCUGACGGAGCGACGCCGCGUGGACGAAGAAGGCUGAAAAGUUGUAAAUUCUUUUGCUGACGAAGAAUAAAGAUAAGAGGGAAUGCUUAUCAGAUGACGGUAGUCGGCGAAUAAGCCCCG